CAGACAGCACAUGUACGUCUGGCCGACGUCGGCCCAAUAUCUAAACGUCGGCCUCUAUACCUAAAACAUCUAUAAAACAUCGGCCUGGCGGAGGCCGAUAUAAUUUGGUCAGUGCUCUGUUCUCCAGCUCAUCAAUCGUCGGCCCUGAGUUGGUUCAGGACCGCGGGCCGAUGCCGCGCUUCUCUGUGUGCGCGUGCCCAGUAUUCGUCUCUUUUAGCCACUCAGAGAGAGAGAAGAGGAUAAUCCCAGCGACAUCUGUGGCUCUGAGGUAACGUUACGAUUUCACUUCAGCUCAAUUAGACAAAAAAUACUACUUUGUUAAUUCUGUGACACUGAAAAAGUACUAGUAAUACAGUCUAUGGGCAGCUGAAGAGUCUGGCUUAUUUUCAAAUAAUGUUACCGUUAACUUUUUGAGCCAACGGUCACGGUAGCGAUUUUUUUUUACAUUAAUGUUAACGCCUUAAUGCGUUUUCAGAAGUUUCUCGGAGGGAAAAUGUAAAAGCGGGUUAUUAAAGAGAAGUCCUGACUGCUUUUUCACCGUGUUUUUCACUCUUUUACAGGCUUUCAGAAAUAAUCCGGUGAAAUAAUAUGUCCUGCGCGAGCGGGGAGCAGAGUUGCCAUGGAAACGGGGCGUCAACACAAAAACCGUUACUGGCAAGCAGUAAUCUCCGUCUCUCACUGCAGUUUACACUGUUUUGGGAGGACAGAAAGAAACUCUACAGAACAGAAGUGAAGCUCCAAGAUUUCAACAUUUCUGAAGGGAGAUUCUGACUUAGAAAUACAGGUGACCUGAAGAAGCUCAUGAAAAACAUGAAUAUGCCUUUUUCAGAAUACAUUUCACCAAUUUUAAGAAGUCCCUGACAUCAUAACCUUGUUUCCUUCUAAUGAACCUGGAACUGCAGAGUAAAUAUUGUUGACUCUGUGUCAGAUUGCUUGUUUUGUUCCUGGACUCUUCAGUGAUGAUGAGCAGAGUCUGAGUGAACCUGCUGUCAGACAGGUUGGCCUGAUUGACGAUGUCAUCGUCCAUUGCCGAUGGCUGAUAGACAUCACGAUGCUGCGCCGGCAAACAGCAUCAUCAGCUCCAGUAUCUCGCCCAUGCAUCUGUUGUCAUGCGACAGAGAAGUCACGUUCUAUAGACAGUUUCUAUAGACAGUUGUGAACGUGCUGACAGCUGGUUGCCCAGGCUAUGGAUUAAAGGUAAUACUGUUGGCCCACCGCUGCUGUCAGGCAACAUCUCCAAGAUGCUAGAAACUGCAGGACCAAUAAGUACAAUCUUGAACAUACACAACUGUAUCAUAAGUUUGGGAAGGUAUGGUUUUUUGUGUUUUUGAAAGUCUUUUAUGGCAACCACAGUUUAAUUUAUGAAAUGAAUACAAUUCACUACAAUUUAAAAUAAUAGUUUUCUAUUUGAAUAUAUUUAGAGAAG